GACGAACGCUGGCGGCGUGCUUAACACAUGCAAGUCGAACGGAAAGGCCCUGCUUUUGUGGGGUGCUCGAGUGGCGAACGGGUGAGUAACAAGUGAGUAACCUGCCCUUGACUUUCGGAUAACUUCAGGAAACUGGGGCUAAUACCGGAUAGGAGCUCCUGCUGCAUGGUGGGGGUUGGAAAGUUUCGGCGGUUGGGGAUGGACUCGCGGCUUAUCAGCUUGUUGGUGGGGUAGUGGCUUACCAAGGCUUUGACGGGUAGCCGGCCUGGGAGGGUGACCGGCCACAUUGGGACUGAGAGACGGCCCAGACUCCUACGGGAGGCAGCAGUGGGGAAUAUUGCACAAUGGGCGGAAGCCUGAUGCAGCAACGCCGCGUGCGGGAUGACGGCCUUCGGGUUGUAAACCGCUUUCGCCUGUGACGAAGCGUGAGUGACGGUAAUGGGUAAAGAAGCACCGGCUAACUACGUG
rnacentral:rRNA from 1 species